rnacentral:rRNA from 1 species
UAGGGAAUCUUCGGCAAUGGACGAAAGUCUGACCGAGCAACGCCGCGUGAGUGAAGAAGGUUUUCGGAUCGUAAAGCUCUGUUGUAAGAGAAGAACGAGUGUGAGAGUGGAAAGUUCACACUGUGACGGUAACUUACCAGAAAGGGACGGCUAACUACGUGCCAGCAGCCGCGGUAAUACGUAGGUCCCGAGCGUUAUCCGGAUUUAUUGGGCGUAAAGCGAGCGCAGGCGGUUAGAUAAGUCUGAAGUUAAAGGCCGUGGCUUAACCAUAGUACGCUUUGGAAACUGUUUAACUUGAGUGCAGAAGGGGAGAGUGGAAUUCCAUGUGUAGCGGUGAAAUGCGUAGAUAUAUGGAGGAACACCGGUGGCGAAAGCGGCUCUCUGGUCUGUAACUGACGCUGAGGCUCGAAAGCGUGGGGAGCAAACAGGAUUAGAUACCCUGGUAGUCCACGCCGUAAACGAUGAGUGCUAGGUGUUGGGUCCUUUCCGGGACUCAGUGCCGCAGCUAACGCAUUAAGCACUCCGCCUGGGGAGUACGACCGCAAGGUUG